rnacentral:rRNA from 1 species
UACGUAGGGUGCAAGCGUUAUCCGGAAUUAUUGGGCGUAAAGAGCUCGUAGGCGGUUUGUCGCGUCUGCUGUGAAAACUGGAGGCUCAACCUCCAGCCUGCAGUGGGUACGGGCAAACUAGAGUGCGGUAGGGGAGAUUGGAAUUCCUGGUGUAGCGGUGGAAUGCGCAGAUAUCAGGAGGAACACCGAUGGCGAAGGCAGGUCUGCUGGGCCACUACUGACGCUGAGAAGCGAAAGCAUGGGGAGCGAACAGG